GACGAACGCUGGCGGCGUGCUUAACACAUGCCAGUCGAACGGAAAGGCCCUCUUGCAGGGUACUCGAGUGGCGAACGGGUGAGUAACACGUGGGUGAUCUGCCCUGCACUUCGGGAUAAGCCUGGGAAACUGGGUCUAAUACCGGAUAGGAGCCAUUUUUAGUGUGAUGGUUGGAAAGUUUUUUCGGUGUAGGAUGAGCUCGCGGCCUAUCAGCUUGUUGGUGGGGUAAUGGCCUACCAAGGCGGCGACGGGUAGCCGGCCUGAGAGGGUGGACGGCCACAUUGGGACUGAGAUACGGCCCAGACUCCUACGGGAGGCAGCAGUGGGGAAUAUUGCACAAUGGGCGCAAGCCUGAUGCAGCGACGCCGCGUGGGGGAUGACGGCCUUCGGGUUGUAAACUCCUUUCGCUAGGGACGAAGCUUUUUGUGACGGUACCUAGAUAAGAAGCACCGGCUAACUACGUG
rnacentral:rRNA from 1 species